rnacentral:rRNA from 1 species
UACGAAGGGUGCAAGCGUUAAUCGGAAUUACUGGGCGUAAAGAGCUCGUAGGCGGUUUGUCGCGUCGGAUGUGAAAGCCCGGGGCUUAACCCCGGGUCUGCAUUCGAUACGGGCAGACUAGAGUGUGGUAGGGGAGAUCGGAAUUCCUGGUGUAGCGGUGAAAUGCGCAGAUAUCAGGAGGAACACCGGUGGCGAAGGCGGAUCUCUGGGCCAUUACUGACGCUGAGGAGCGAAAGCGUGGGGAGCGAACAGG